rnacentral:lncRNA from 1 species
CAGGGGGCAGCCUGCUGCGGGUGGCUUGUUCCUUUCAGGCGGCCACGCUCCCGUCCAGGUAUCGGGAGGCCCGGCUGGGAAGCACGCUCCUUGGUGCAACUUCAUACCAGGACAUUCGAGAGGGUUAUGGGAAACCAUUUUUCCCUUACUCUGUCAUCUGGAAUGACACGGAUUCAGGGCGUGUAAAAAGCGUGUCCUUUAAUUUAUGGCGACAUAAACAAACCUGAGCAGCCUGGACUGAAAAUCAGAGAUGAAGGUGAUAGGAGAGAAGCGUUGGCGUGGAUAAUGCUGUUAACAUCCUUUUACCUCCUGUGACGGGGCUCCGGGAGGGAUGGCUUCGGCACGCGGGGUCUUUGCAACAUGUUCUGCUCACAUUAAAACUGUAGAAAUAGCAGUCGUUGUUUACUUCCUGCAUUGGAAGAGGGCGUUUUUAAGAGCCGAAGGAAAGCACUUCACUGGCAAGGAUUGGAGAAUAAGAAGUCAGUCUACAUUCAGAAAAGCGUAUAUAGCAGGCGCUACAGGAAAGGAACCCCAGAAAGUGGUCCACUGCCAGAAUGAUGACGACUCCUGGAACUUUCUCUGA